rnacentral:rRNA from 1 species
CCUACGGGGGGCAGCAGUCGAGAAUAAUUCACAAUGGGGGAAACUCUGAUGGUGUGACGCCGCGUGGGGGAAUGAAGCUCUUCGGAUUGUAAACCCCUUUCAUGGGGGAGCAAAGUACAAAGAUCGUACCACACGAGCCAGAGACGGCUAACUCUGUGCCGGCAGCCGCGGUAAUACAGAGGGCUCAAGCGUUGUUCGGACUGAGUGGGCGUAAAGCGUGCGCAGGCUGUUUAGUAAGUCGUGUGUGAAAGGCGCGGGCUCAACCCGCGGACGGCAGAUGAUACUGUGAGACUAGAGUGUAGGAGGGGGAACCGGAAUGCUCGGUGUAGCAGUGAAAUGCGUAGAUAUCAGGAGGAACACUCGUGGCGAAGGCGGGUUACCGGACAUUAACUGACGCUGAGGCACGAAGGCGAGGGGAGCGAAAGGGAUUAGAUACCCGAGUAGUC